rnacentral:lncRNA from 1 species
UUAUGUUGUGCUGAAUUUUAUUUUCUUGUUUCUUUGCCUAACUCAUAUUAUUUGAUUUGAGUCAAAUCUUUCAUGUUAAUUAGUCCUUAACAUGUUCAUGCAAAAUUCUUAGAGAGUCUUUGAUUGUGAACCUUUUCUUGAACUUUUAGGUUUCCUUAUGAUUGUGUCUAUUGUGAAUUUGAGUUUUGGUGAUUGAAUUGCUGGCUGAAAUGUUGAUCCUAAGUGACUAUUGAACUCCUAAAACUGUGUUAAACAAUCCUAGUGAGUUCAACAUACAUAGGAAGGUUGAAAGUAAGCCCAAGGCAAUCAAUAUACCAUGCUUUAAAAAAAAUCGCUGGUGCUGGC